rnacentral:rRNA from 1 species
UACGAAGGGGGCUAGCGUUGCUCGGAUUGACUGGGCGUAAAGGGCGCGUAGGCGGUUCGUACAGUCAGACGUGAAAUUCCUGGGCUCAACCUGGGGGCUGCGUUUGAUACGUGCGGACUUGAGUGCGGAAGAGGGUCGUGGAAUUCCCAGUGUAGAGGUGAAAUUCGUAGAUAUUGGGAAGAACACCGGUGGCGAAGGCGGCGACCUGGUCCGAUACUGACGCUGAGGAGCGAAAGCGUGGGGAGCAAACAGG